rnacentral:rRNA from 1 species
AUACGGAGGGGGCUAGCGUUGUUCGGAAUUACUGGGCGUAAAGCGUACGUAGGCGGACUGAUCAGUUGGGGGUGAAAUCCCAGGGCUUAACCCUGGAACUGCCUUCAAUACUGUCAGUCUUGAGUUUGGGAGAGGUGAGUGGAAUUCCUAGUGUAGAGGUGAAAUUCAUAGAUAUUAGGAGGAACACCAGUGGCGAAGGCAGCUCACUGGCCCAUUACUGACGCUGAGGUACGAAAGCGUGGGGAGCAAACAGUAUUAGAAACCCCUGUAGUCC